rnacentral:rRNA from 1 species
CCCUUAGAUGUCCUGGGCCGCACGCGCGCUACACUGACAUGUUCAACAAGCCUCCUAGUUCGACAGGAUUUGGGAAAUCUUUGAACGCAUGUCGUGAUAGGGAUAGAUCAUUGCAAUUAUUGAUCUUGAACGAGGAAUUCCUAGUAAACGCGAGUCAUCAGCUCGCAUUGAUUACGUCCCUGCCCUUUGUACACACCGCCCGUCGCACCUACCGAUUGAAUGUUUCGGUGAAGAUUCCGGAUAGGACUUUUUUGAUUUAUUUCAAUUUUGUCUUAAAAGCUAUCUAGACCUCAACAUUUAGAGGAAGGUGAAGUCGUAACA